CAAAUCCUAGUUCAAUUAGUAAAACGUAUUCUUUGGGAGAAUAUAUUCUGAGUGCGAGUCUCAGGGAUUUGA
rnacentral:tRNA from 1 species